GACGAACGCUGGCGGCGUGCCUAACACAUGCAAGUAGAACGCAGUUGCGAACGGGUGAGUAACGCGUAGGUAACCUGCCUCAUAGCUGGGGAACACUAUUGGCAACGAUAGCUAAUACCGCAUACUGUGAGAUGGACCUGCGUUGUAUUAGCUAGUUGGUGAGGUAAAGGCUCACCAAGGCGACGAUACAUAGCCGACCUGAGAUGGUGUGCGUCCACACUCUGAAGAUGCCACGGCCCAGAAUCCUACGUGAGGCAGCAGUAGGGAAUCAUCGGGAAUGGACGAGAGUCUGACCGAGCAACGCCGCAUGAGUGAAGAAGGUUUUCGGAUCGUAAAACUCUGUUGUUAGAGAAGCGUUAUCUAACCAGAAGGCCACGGCUAACUACGUGCCAGCAGCCGCGGUAAUUC
rnacentral:rRNA from 1 species